UACGAAGGGGGCUAGCGUUGUUCGGAAUUACUGGGCGUAAAGCACACGUAGGCGGAUAUUUAAGUCAGGGGUGAAAUCCCAGAGCUCAACUCUGGAACUGCCUUUGAUACUGGGUAUCUUGAGUAUGGAAGAGGUGAGUGGAAUUCCGAGUGUAGAGGUGAAAUUCGUAGAUAUUCGGAGGAACACCAGUGGCGAAGGCGGCUCACUGGUCCAUUACUGACGCUGAGGUGCGAAAGCGUGGGGAGCAAACAGG
rnacentral:rRNA from 1 species